AUUGAACGCUGGCGGCAGGCUUAACACAUGCAAGUCGAGCGAGCGGCGGACGGGUGAGUUAUGUCUGGGCAACUGCCUGAUGGAGGGGGAUAACUAAUGGAAACUGUAGCUAAUACCGCAUACCAUCAGAUGGGCCCAGAUGGGAUUAGCUAGUAGGUGGGGUAAUGGAGCACCUAGGCGACGAUCCCUAGCUGGUCUGAGAGGAUGACCAGCCACACUGGAAAUGAGAAACGGGCAAGACUCCUACGGGAGGCAGCAGUGGGGAAUAUUGCACAAUGGGCGAAAGCCUGAUGCAGCAAGGCCGCGUGUGUGAAGAAGGGCUUCGGGUUGUAAAGCACUUUCAGCGAGGAGGCGUUACUCGCAGAAGAAGCACCGGCUAACUCCGUGCCAGCAGCCGCGGUAAUAC
rnacentral:rRNA from 1 species